UAUUAAUUCUUAGUUUACGACUGGAAUGAUUUCAAUCCUAAAAAAUCAAAAAAUGAAAAUUCCUUUGCUAAUAUGCUUGCGUAAGUCUUACGGCAUGCUAUGCAUACUGUCAUACUAAUGUCAAGAGUUGAGGUUGAUGGUUUUCCCAGCUUAAUGUUGUAAAAGCUAUAUAUCUUUCCAAAAUCUGGGUGAUCACAGAUGACCUCAAUUUCUUUCGAGACUUAUGAGGGAUGCCAUUUUUAGGUAGAGUACUUUCCCUUGGCGUAAUUGCCCCAAAGAACCAUAAAUACUAGAAAGAAAGAGAUAAGAAACAACUGAAUUAUCCGUUUAGGGUGCCAAAUCAUUAAUCGGUCAGGGAAAAGUGAAGUUGGCGAUUCGCGCUCAUUAAUGCAACCCCGACAUUCCAUUGUCACCGAUUGUCGGCCCAUCACUACUUCUAGGGUUACUUGCAUAUUCUGCCAUUAUUUUGACAGGAGAGCACUGGUCAAUAAUAAGUUGUUUCUCAGUUAGAAUUAUUAAUAUUUCCUAAGUUUCUGAGAGUUCAGAAGUUGAUUUGAUACUAUUUUCUGAAAAUCUGUAGCAAGCAUAGAAAAUUACUGUUCUUCAACAACCAGAUACACAGUAAAAACUGUUCAUGUUUUGGGUAUCAUAAUUGCCAGAAAGGGACAAUAUUAGCAUUUUGGAUAUUUUUUUUACUUUACAUAAUCAUUUGCAUACUGGUAAUCCAUUCAUAAGCAUUGUGCUCCAGUUGGAACACUGACAAAAUGAGAGUUUAUGAAUGGUUCUGAUAUUUAAGCAUUCCGUGAUUCUGUUGUUAAUGUGAGUAGUUAAGAAAUCUCAUGGCUGUUCAGUCUUUUAUGUAGAUUUGAGCCGUGCCACAAGAAAACCAACAUAGCUGGUCUGGAUCCAUGAUUGUCGCCAACCCACUACGUUGGUUUUCUCAUGGCACGGCUCAAAUUUUUGUUCAGACAUAUUAGUGUUGUUGUUGAUCAUGAUGUAUAAGUAGAGCACUGUUUAGAACAAAAAAAGAAACUGGAAUUAUAAGAAUAUAUUGAUAAGGCAAAAAAUUCUCAUUGUUAUGGUCAGUUACGUAAAAUAAUAAAUGUUCUAAACAUUAAAGAAAGGGAGCAGAUAUACAACAACAUGCAAGUUAAUCAGUUGAGGGCCACAAAAAUUAUAAUAUCCUUAUCAAAUUCAAGGCAUCUGACCCUAGCAAUUCCUGAAGGUCAUCAGUUGACAGUUGGUUAGCACUAACGAAUUUCAUAAUCAGAUAAACACUUCAUAAAUGGUCCUUAGUAUUCUUGAAGUAUGUCACUGUAAUCUUCAACUGGUUGCAGAGUGGAUAACUGCACUUAUAUCAAGAAGCAGUUCACCGUGUCUUUGCUGAGGUGUAACUCUGUAUUUGGUUCAGAAUUUGUUUUAUUAUCAAUUAUUUAUUUCUGUGCAUGAUUGUAUGAAAAACAUUUAAAAUAAAAUCUAUGGAAUCUGU
rnacentral:lncRNA from 1 species